UCGCGAGAGUUCCUCCACCUGGCCCACUCAGAAGCUGUAGGAAACGGAGGCAGAGAAGAGUCGCGAGCCUUGACUCGACCACACUUUCCAGGCCCCGCCCCUCCUUCCUCGCCCUCCUCCUGGCCCAGCUUCCCCGGUUGCACGUGUAAUUGUUGUGGUUGAACCUCACGUGGCCACGGAAGUGCCGGCGUUACAUGCCCCGCCUCCAAGAUGGCGGCGCCCAGUGCCGGGGCCCACGACCUGAGCCGGCUCAGCUUUGAAUUAUAACCUUGACUGAGUCUGUGCGGCCAUGGACCGGCCUGGCUUCACAGCCUCGCUGGUGGCUGGUGGGGUAGCAGGUGUCUGUGUUGACUUGAUAUUAUUUCCUCUGGAUACCAUUAAAACCAGGCUGCAGAGCCCCCAAGGAUUUAAUAAGGCUGGUGGUUUUCGUGGAAUAUAUGCUGGCGUUCCUUCUGCUGCUAUUGGAUCCUUUCCUAAUGCUGCUGCAUUUUUUAUCACCUAUGAAUAUGUGAAAUGGUUUUUGCACACUGAUUCGUCUUCAUAUUUGAUGCCUGUGAAGCAUAUGUUGGCUGCCUCUGCUGGAGAAGUGGUUGCUUGCCUGAUUCGAGUUCCUUCUGAAGUAGUUAAGCAGAGGGCACAGGUAUCUGCUUCUUCAGGAACAUUUCACAUUUUCUCUAACAUCUUAUGUCAAGAGGGCAUCCAAGGAUUGUAUCGAGGCUACAAAAGCACUGUUUUAAGAGAGAUUCCUUUCUCAUUGGUCCAGUUUCCCCUGUGGGAGUCCUUAAAAGCCCUCUGGUCCUGGAGGCAGGAUCAUGUGGUGGAUUCUUGGCAGUCAGCAGUCUGUGGAGCAUUUGCAGGUGGAUUUGCAGCUGCAGUCACCACGCCUCUGGACGUGGCAAAAACCAGAAUCAUGUUGGCAAAGGCCGGCUCCAGCCCUGCAAGUGGGAACGUCCUCUCUGCCCUGCACGGGGUCUGGCGGACACGGGGGCUGUCAGGAUUAUUUGCAGGUGUCUUCCCUCGAAUGGCAGCCAUCAGUCUGGGAGGUUUCAUCUUUCUUGGUGCUUAUGACCAGACUCGCAGCUUUCUGCUGGAACUUGGCAGAGAGAGUCCAUGAAUCAGAGACGGCCCCUGCUUUCAAGAAAGGGUCCUGCUGUGAGAACUGUUUCCCCUCCGGUGAGCAGCCGUUUGGCCAUCUAAACAACAGAACGCGGCGCUCAAGUCCAGUUCUGCUCAGAUUACGACAUGGAGAACGCAUCUUCCGUGCUGCAGGCUGGCCGGGAUGACGUCAUCGGCCUGGUUCCCAGAGUUCAGAGAGAAAAGGAUGUCCACAGCGAGAGGUGUCCAGCGGCCCAUGUGGUGUGUGAGAGAGAAACCAGUCGCAGCCCAGUGACUAGGUGGGCCCAGCGGGCUUCACGGCAGGAGGGCCGUCACUGACCUGGCUCCUCUCCACUUCAGACCCAAAGCAAGGGCCGGGCCGGCUUUGGAAACGGGGUGGGUUCAUCAUUCCUAAUCACUAAGGUUUGUUGCUUGGAGUUUUAAGCUCAACACUAGAAAUCAAAGAGAUGAAGAAGUGGGAAGGUCACCAUCUUGGAGCUCUACUAAUAAGCUCCAGGUGUUAGAAAAAUUCAGAAAGCAAUCUCAGGAAUCUAGUGGUGUCAUGUUUUCCCUGGAGCUACGGGUAUAUAUACCAUUCUGCUUUGACUAAAAAUUUUUUUUCCUUUUUGGGGGUGGGGUGGGGGGGAAGGUACAUACUUCAGGCAGGAUGACUCCCUUACAAAGGCAAUCUCUGGAAUUAAUUAAACAGGAUGCAGCAAUGCUGGUUAAUGGAGGUAUAAAAAUAACCCCGCCACACACUUAACAUUUUAUAAAUGAACCUUUAUUAAAGACACUUCAAUGCCAUUUGUUAGACACUUCAAUAUUUUACAUGUUGCUUUUCAAUGUACAUUGUACCAAAAUUUCUAUAAAUAAAUAACUUUGUACAUAAAAGUAAGUAAUACUUCCUCUUUCACAUUGCCUCUCAGAAGCAGCAAAUUCACAUAUUUUGUGGAAGUAAGAAUCAGUUAACUGUUGAGAACAAAAUUGUAAAUGUGCUUACCUUUUGGAACAGUGAUGACAUCUGACAGUGAAAUUUAACAUAGGUAAGUAACCAUUCUGUCAGUACCUCCCUUCAGCUUUUUGGCCAAAGGAACUUUGCUUUCUGAGAUUUUUUUAAGGACCUUGUUUCAAUGUAAUUUUUCCUGAAAUACACAUUGGCACUCACAAGAUGGUUAGCAACAGGUCUCAAAAAAGUGCAAAUAUACCCAGAACCCGGGUCAAGGGCUAAUCGCUUAGAGUCCAAGCCCGGGUCCAUCUGUGCGAGGGAAGGAAAUGGAUAGGCCUGCUCUGCACCCUCAGUAAAGACACGCUAGCCCUGAAAAGGAGGGACUCGGUUUUUCCUCCCCCAAGGCCAAUGUAAUAUUAAUUAUAUCGGCAGAACUAAAACAAACAUCACUAUUGAAAAAUCCACAGGUACCAACACCAGCAGCCUCUAUCUAUCUAAUUAAAAAGCCUCAAAUGACCA